rnacentral:lncRNA from 10 species
AGGCCUGUCUUUAGGCUGGAAGUGUCCUGUGGAAUCCCUAUCUGUGAACCCUAUAUUCAGUCUUCCUGUAGCCUCAACCUCAGUCCAAUUCCUGAACACAGAGGUUGGGAUUGACUGUUGUGAAGGAGAGGAGGAGAGUGCAUGUCAAGUUUCAGUAGCUGGAUGGACGAAGGCACGGAAGUAGGAAUCAGCAGGAAUAUAAAAAUUUCAAACCAAAAUGUUACUGCAUCAAGGAUGUCAGCCACUAAGAGAACUCUACAACACUCCUUUGGACACAGCAGGACAAAAUUUUAGGCUGCAAAUGCUGUUCAGCCGUGGUCCCACAGCCACCCUGCCCAAUUUAAUUCCCAACUCAGGGACUCAGGUCCUCAUAACCUCCUGACAGACUAACAAUCCUAGGUAGGGCCAACUCUAUGCCCCUGGUCAGCAAUAAGCAGUUGGAAGAUGAGACCUUCACCCACACACCAAAGAUUUGUCAUUGUUGCUCUGUCACAGGGGGAAUGUGGAAUCCUGUUUAGGGAAAAAAAGUCAGGAUGGCAGCACCAAGAGGAAGCAAAAAGAAAAAGCAGAUAAGCUAUAUGUCUGCCUUUCUUCAUACUCCAAGAGACACGGCCCUCCUGAGCAAAUAACUCACAAUCUUCCUGUGUCCAGCUAUCACCAGACCCUCAGCUAAUAGAAAAGUGCAGAUUGGCUCACUGCAACCUUGGGGUUUUCAGUACUGCACAAAGCCCUCUUCAGCACACAGCACAAGCACCAUGCUAUAAAAUCCCCAGCAAGCCUUCAUCUCCUGGUAGUCAGCUCCUCUCUUGCUAACUUGCCCAUUCAUUGCACUCUUGCUAUGUGUCUUCAUCCUUUAAUAAAUCUGCUUUUCUUUACCUACAACCGUCUAGGUAAAUUCUUCUUACCUGCGUACCACUGGCCCCAAAUAGUCACUGCUCACCAUGGCAAGUAGGGCCAUGCUUCUUCUGAAACCUAUGAGGGAGUCCUUCCUUGCCCGUUUCUAGCUUCUGGGGGUUUGUCAGCAAUCCUUGGUAUUCUUUGGCUUUCAACUGCGUAACUUCAAUCUCUGCCUUAGUCAUUGUGUGGAAUUAUUUUUACAUGGCCCUGUGUGUCUCUGUUUUCAUGUGGCCAUCUUCUUAUAAGGACACCAUUUGAAACUGUGAUAUCUUCUGAGGUACUUGGGGUUAGGAUUUCAACAUAUGUUUUUAGAAGACCCAGAACAAAGCCUAAACAAAGUGAGGAGGGUCUCCUUGUACGUGGGCAGCCCAGGAUGAGAAAUCAGAGCUGCAGCGGGGUUGGGAGAGGGCAUCCACACAUGUGGGUGGCGUGGUGCAGGUGUGUUAUAUCCUGGGCAAUGUGAGCAAGGCAUCUAUGUAGGGGAAAGCCUGGGUAGGGGGGUCUGAGCCCAAGCAGGAUGAGGAGAGCAUCUGUGAAAAGUGCUCUGGGUUUUUGAGCCUGAACAGGGUGAGCAAGGUUGUGGUCUACAUGGGGAUGGGAAGUGGGGAGCCCCUAUGGCUUAUCAGAGCCUUAGUGGGGGUGAGGAAGGCAUCCACGCAGGAAGGACAACCU